GCAGCGCGGGGCAACCUGGCGGCGAGUGGCGAACGGGUGAGUAAUAUAUCGGAACGUACCCAAGAGUGGGGGAUAACGCAGCGAAAGUUGCGCUAAUACCGCAUACGAUCUAAGGAUGAAAGCAGGGGACCGCAAGGCCUUGUGCUCCUGGAGCGGCCGAUAUCUGAUUAGCUAGUUGGUGAGGUAAAGGCUCACCAAGGCGACGAUCAGUAGCUGGUCUGAGAGGACGACCAGCCUCACUGGAACUGAGACACGGUCCAGACUCCUACGGGAGGCAGCAGUGGGGAAUUUUGGACAAUGGGCGCAAGCCUGAUCCAGCAAUGCCGCGUGAGUGAAGAAGGCCUUCGGGUUGUAAAGCUCUUUUGUCCGGGAAGAAACGCACUGGGUGAAUACCCUGGUGUAAUGACGGUACCGGAAGAAUAAGCACCGGCUAACUACGUGCCAGCAGCCGCGGUAAUACGUAGGGUGCAAGCGUUAAUCGGAAUUACUGGGCGUAAAGCGUGCGCAGGCGGUUGUGCAAGACAGAUGUGAAAUCCCCGGGCUUAACCUGGGAAUUGCAUUUGUGACUGCACGGCUAGAGUGUGUCAGAGGGGGGUAGAAUUCCACGUGUAGCAGUGAAAUGCGUAGAUAUGUGGAGGAAUACCGAUGGCGAAGGCAGCCCCCUGGGAUAACACUGACGCUCAUGCACGAAGCGUGGGGAGCAAACAGGAUUAGAUACCCUGGUAGUCCACGCCCUAAACGAUGUCAACUAGUUGUCGGGUCUUAAUUGACUUGGUAAC
rnacentral:rRNA from 1 species